rnacentral:rRNA from 1 species
GAUGAACGCUGGCGGCGUGCUUAACACAUGCAAGUCGAACGAACCUUCGGGUGAGUGGCGGACGGGUGAGUAACGCGUGGGAAUCUGCCCUCAGGAGGGGGAUAACGGCUGGAAACGGCCGCUAAUACCCCAUAUGCCGAGAGGUGAAAUGAAUUUCGCCUGAGGAUGAGCCCGCGUCUGAUUAGCUAGUUGGUGAGGUAAGAGCUCACCAAGGCAUCGAUCAGUAGCUGGUCUGAGAGGAUGAUCAGCCACACUGGGACUGAGACACGGCCCAGAUUCCUACGGGAGGCAGCAGUGGGGAAUUUUCCGCAAUGGGCGAAAGCCUGACGGAGCAACGCCGCGUGAGGGAUGAAGGCCUCUGGGCUGUAAACCUCUUUUCUCAAGGAAGAAGAUCUGACGGUACUUGAGGAAUAAGCCACGGCUAAUUCCGUGCCAGCAGCCGCGGUAAUACGGGAGUGGCAAGCGUUAUCCGGAAUUAUUGGGCGUAAAGCGUCCGCAGGCGGCCCUUCAAGUCUGCUGUUAAAACGUGGAGCUUAACUCCAUCAUGGCAGUGGAAACUGUUGGGCUUGAGUGUGGUAGGGGCAGAGGGAAUUCCCGGUGUAGCGGUGAAAUGCGUAGAUAUCGGGAAGAACACCAGUGGCGAAGGCGCUCUGCUGGGCCAUAACUGACGCUCAUGGACGAAAGCCAGGGGAGCGAAAGGGAUUAGAUACCCCUGUAGUCCUGGCCGUAAACGAUGAACACUAGGUGUCGGGGGAAUCGACCCCCUCGGUGUCGUAGCCAACGCGUUAAGUGUUCCGCCUGGGGAGUACGCACGCAAGUGUGAAACUCAAAGGAAUUGACGGGGGCCCGCACAAGCGGUGGAGUAUGUGGUUUAAUUCGAUGCAACGCGAAAAACCUUACCAGGGUUUGACAUCCUGCGAACCUCUUGGAAACGAGAGGGUGCCUUCGGGAGCGCAGUGACAGGUGGUGCAUGGCUGUCGUCAGCUCGUGUCGUGAAAUGUUGGGUUAAGUCCCGCAACGAGCGCAACCCACGUCUUUAGUUGCCAGCAUUUAGUUGG